CGUGGAUGAAGGGCGCUUUUGGGGAAGGGCAUGGAAGCGAGGAGCGGACGGAUUUUCUGAUCUCUUUGAGAUAUGGGCACCGGCCUUUGCCCAGCUACAUUCCCAAUAAGCUCUACACCUAACCUGGGGCUUGAAUUCAUAGCUCCGAGAUCAAGAGUCACAUGCUCUACCGACUAAGCCAGCCAUCCACCCCUGUCUGUAUUAUUUUCGCAACUUUUCAGUAAAUCAAAUUAAUUUAAAAUAAAAAGUUUUAAAUGAUAA